UACGUAGGCAGCGAGCGUUGUUCGGAGUUACUGGGCGUAAAGCGUGCGUAGGCGGUUUUGUAAGUUUGGUGUGAAAUCUCCCGGCUCAACUGGGAGGGUGCGCCGAAAACUGCAAGGCUGGAGUAUGGGAGAGGUAGGCGGAAUUCCUGGUGUAGCGGUGAAAUGCGUAGAUAUCAGGAGGAACACCUGUGGUGUAGACGGCUUACUGGACCAUGACUGACGCUGAGGCACGAAAGCGUGGGUAGCAAACAGG
rnacentral:rRNA from 1 species